ACAACGACGGAAGUGGAACGACAGUAAACAAACGAGAGCAAUGGAAGACAUCCACUCGGUAGUGUUCUUUCUGCUCGGCAUGUGACUCUUCAUCACCAAGAGAAGAUGAGCUUUGUUCGAGAGGAGACUGUAGGCUGCGCGGCGGAACACUGCGGAGAAAAUGAGAGUUUGGGCGUUGUUGGAGGACGACCUGUUGCCGAGAAGAAGACGGCGACGCCAGAUGGGUGCCGUCUACCUUUCGCCCAAUCUCAGCCAGGAUAUCCUCCAGCUCCCCGAGACCCUGAACAGGAUAAGCGGUGCACCACAUGGAACUCCAGCCCUACGUGGUGUGUUUUCCAGAUGCUUCAAUUGCUGGUCUGAUGAGAUUUUUUUAGCAGUGUAUCACUUUGAACAUGAAUCAACUUUUUUUUUUUUUUUUUAAACAAUUGAUUUCCAAAUGUCAUUAAUACAACAGUUAGUUCAGACCAAGCAAUUUGAUUGGACAAGAGUCAUUCUAUGAGUGGUGAUAUACAAGACAACAGCACUGGGACUUCAUAUCACUCUGCCACGAAAGUGUUUGAAAACGUUCAUUCCGAACUCUGCAGUGAGUGGUUAUUCGUGACUGUGGGUUGUUCACAAAUUUGCAUCGCAAAGACAGAACUAUUUCCAGGAAUAAGAUUGGAUUUAAAGUGUGAAAGGUCAUCAGAUGAGGACAAAAGUAAGCAGAAAAGAUGGGCUAUCCUCUGAAAUUUUCCAUAAAAUAAAAUAAAGAAAAAUAGUAAGUACAGCGGUAACUAAAAGUGCCUAUGUCUCAAAACGUCGUAUGUGGAGACCAUCGUAAAUCAAGGAACCCUGUAUGAAGAGAAUGGAAUCUGAGAAUGUAAGCUCCGUGCCAUCAGAAUGUGAAUUAGACACAUUUUUUACACUGACUUUUUAGAACUGUAUAAUUCUUUCAGAACAAUCUUUAGAUACAAAACUGUGCUAGAAAUGUAAUGUUUUUAAAAAUUCAAAGUUUAAAUCCGGGUUGUGAUCAGGAUGAACGUAAAGUUGCAGCUCAUGGAGGUGCCACCGGAUGGCGCUGUUACACAUUUGCUGUAAACGUGAUCACUUUUGGAGUGAGUCCCAACUAGUGUGUGGUGAGAGCUGAUCCCUGAGGAAAAAAUCCAGUUUCCAUUUGUGUCUGAAAAUUAUUUAUUAAUAGAAUUAUGAAUAGAUGAACAGAGAUAUAUUUGUAAUCGUUGUUCGUCUAUCCAUGGUAGCAACGUGUGUCUUCCAUUACAUGGCACCCUCCAAUAAAGCUGUUGCAAUUCA